CAGCAGCCGCGGGAACACGAAGGGGGCUAGCGUUGUUCGGAAUUACUGGGCGUAAAGCGCACGUAGGCGGACAUUUAAGUCAGGGGUGAAAUCCCGGGGCUCAACCCCGGAACUGCCUUUGAUACUGGGUGUCUAGAGUAUGGAAGAGGUGAGUGGAAUUCCGAGUGUAGAGGUGAAAUUCGUAGAUAUUCGGAGGAACACCAGUGGCGAAGGCGGCUCACUGGUCCAUUACUGUCGCUGAGGUGCGAAAGCGUGGGGAGCAAACAGGAUUAGAUACCCCAGUAGUCCCUGUCUCUUAUAC
rnacentral:rRNA from 1 species